rnacentral:rRNA from 1 species
GACGAACGCUGGCGGCGUGCUUAACACAUGCAAGUCGAACGGAAAGGCCCUGCUUUUGUGGGGUGCUCGAGUGGCGAACGGGUGAGUAACACGUGAGUAACCUGCCCUUGACUUUGGGAUAACUUCAGGAAACUGGGGCUAAUACCGGAUAGGAGCUCCUGCUGCAUGGUGGGGUUGGAAAGUUUCGGCGGUUGGGGAUGGACUCGCGGCUUAUCAGCUUGUUGGUGGGGUAGUGGCUUACCAAGGCUUUGACGGGUAGCCGGCCUGAGAGGGUGACCGGCCACAUUGGGACUGAGAUACGGCCCAGACUCCUACGGGAGGCAGCAGUGGGAAAUAUUGCACAAUGGGCGGAAGCCUGAUGCAGCAACGCCGCGUGCGGGAUGACGGCCUUCGGGUUGUAAACCGCUUUCGCCUGUGACGAAGCGUGAGUGACGGUAAUGGGUAAAGAAGCACCGGCUAACUACGUG